AGAUCUGGUUUUACGAGUACUUCCCCUCUGUUGCGCCGGCGAGACCAUCACCGCGCGAAUUUCCAGUGAGCGCCUCUUGGGGCGGCCGUCAUGUGGAUAUGUCUACCACACAUGUCCGGAACUGGAUCAUCGAGGGGCCUGAGGUGGUGUACCGGCCGUGGGGCGGCUGGACAGUCCCUGGGUUAGCCGCACAGUAUUCUGUUGAGCGUCGCUAUUUCCUGGGGACUUAUGGAGCAAUCGCGUACUUAGGAGAGAGGGUUGCUAGACAACAUUCUUCUGAUAUCUUCGUCGUUCCUGCUGCUCCACCGCGUCAUAUGUUCGACGACGCGCGAUUAUUGAGCAUGUCUGAGGGAGCUGGUACCCCUUGGCGGUCCUACGCGAUCCCUGGCAGUGCUUUGCUGAGAAGCUAUUGCCGUUGUUAGCUCCAGCCCCCGUACCGGCUGAGGAUGUGAGGAACGGUGCUGCUAAGUUCGUGCCACCCCGUAUGUCCAUC